AAGGUGGAUUUGUGAGUAAUUAUUUUUAUAGUAUUAAUAAAUGAAGGGUGGAAUAACAUGUGUACAUAUUGCCCGUCGCUCUCGUUAUUUUUGAGAUAAGUCGUAACAUAGUUGAUGAACUGGAAAGUGUAUCUUUUUGA
rnacentral:rRNA from 1 species